ACAGAUACUUUAUAUGGUACAUGUACAUGUACAUAGUUGCAUAUACAUAAUGAACAGCUUUACAUGUACUGUACCGUACCCUUGCGAAAAUACACCCACCCUUUUCUGCAAGAAGUUUAGGCUUAUUAGGGGACUGGGCGUUUAAUCGCGAAUGGCGAGUUUUUAUUUAAAUAUACGCCCACUCGCGGCCUCAAAUCGAGGUUUAAGCUUAUACUUUGCCUAUGACAAUUCUUUAUUGUAUUUUCAUUUUAGUAAGAACAUUUCAUUGACAACAACAAUGUUAUAAAUUAAUGCAUGAGUAUGAUUAAAGCAUGACAAGAGAAUGAACAUGAAUAAGUGGACUCUGACUCUGUUCGUUGCUUGUGUCGAUGUCAGAUGCAGCAUAAACUUCCCAAAGGAGGAUGGUAGGUCAUACUCCUACAGAGCAGCUAUCAGGUACUUUGUUUCAGAAAACCAAGGCAAGGCAACGUGCAAAAUUGGCCUGUGUGAUAACUUUCUUGGACUUUGUGUUUUCUUUUCCCUGCAUGUAUGUAAUCUUGUAGGACUACUUGUUCCCUGCAUAUACAUCUUCAAGGGCAAACAGAUCCUUACAGAGAAAGUUAUAUGUCUAAUCUUGGUCCAGCAAGGAGUAUAGUCUAAGACUCCUACUAGCUACUACCUAAAACUUCACUAUUAAUUUUAGUAAACAUGUGGCAUUCAGCUACUGCGCAUGCUCAACUCUUCAUUCUGGGUGGGCUUAUAAUCGAGUGAAAAUACCGUCGUGCAAGAACUUCGAAGCAAAAGAGGGGAUGGGCGUUUAUUCAAGAUGGGUAUAUUUUCGCGAGGGUACGGUAUACCUAUACCUCAGUUGCUGUCAUUUGUACCUAUAGUACCCGACUAGAAAAACGUUGCCCAGGGGAAACACCAAAACAUGUGAAAAUGAAAGCACCGUGGGAUCACUUCAGCUGCAAAUACAUGUACAGUGCAUCCAGUUUAGAGAGUAGAUUACCACAAAUAAAUUAUGUGAGUGGCUGUACUUGAUAUCUUUUGAUUGGUUAAGAAAUGGUGCUGAUACCAUUGUGUAUAGGUGAAUGAAUAAGCUACAAUAUAUCCCAAAAAUUAUGAAAACAUGAGGUGGUGGGUCGUGGGUUUGGGGGGAUUAAUAAGAACAACAGUAAAUAAUUAUUGUUGUAGUGGGUAAUCGGUUAAAGUAAUAAAACACUAACCUUAAACAGUUAAGGUCUCAGACUUUAUAAGACAAUUGUUUGAUGGUUUAGAUAUCCUGGCUAUCCUUCAUGAGUCUUAUAUAUGUUCACAGUGCCUAUAAUUCAUGAUUUACUGGUUUUCAGGUGUACUUUUCAGGGAAAAAUUUGAGGCCACGCCAACUUCCGGUCACCACACCCUAUAUUGUUUGUUGUUCGUGCCUAUAGCGAUGUACUCCUGGCAAUGUGCAUUGACAGGCAACUCUAUAUAACUUGGUAUGCUGGUUUGAAAUUGUGGACCGUAUCCAUAGAACACUAUAGAAACCACAAAAGUAACGAAUAGAUCAAGACAUCAACAGCUGCAAACCACACAACCAAUGAUGGAGCUGGAUGCACUGUAUGUAGAUCUAUCUCAAACGCCUCGGGUAAUAAAGCUACUAGCUAUGCUAAUACACACAUGAUACAUGUAUCAUGAUGCACACGUUUGUACUAAAUUUGCUGCAUGCAAAACUCGGAAUGAUCGACCAUGAUUGUUGCUAAAAAGGAUCGAUGCCAAAGUCCAAGUCUAGAAUCAAUGGCUGCAUCAGCAGAGCCUUGCAGCUCUCUUCUCACUCUUGUAGCCAGUGCAGAGCUAACUACUAUAUUAUAGAGUAGCAACACUGUAUAGACAAGUUUUGCUCUUCUGAAAAGGCGAUGACAUAAUUAUUUUCACAGGUAGAUUUGUUUGUGUUUUUACAGUUUUGUACAUUUGCUGGUAUAAUUUUUUGCGAAAUGUCGAUCUGGAUACAUUAAACAAGAGGGCGGCCAAUUAUUUGCGAGUACUAAUUUUUGCGAUUUUACUCUCAUUCGCAGAAAUAGCAGAAUUAAUACACGCGAAAAUAUGUCACCUUAAACGAGCAUGCUGACUAUAAAAAGGUGUGCUGUGGGCAGCUCCGACCGGAAGCAACCAAAAAAUGACAAAAUGGCAACAAUGAAUUUUCUUGAGUCUUGCAAAAAGACGCCCUUGACAGUUAUAAUGCACAUUCUUUACAUUUUUACAUUCUUCUUUUGAUACGCCUUCUUCCGCUCUCUCACAAGAUAGUAGACACAAACUAAAAACAAAAAAUGGCUGUCAAAAGUAUUUCAAGAAGUCUGUUCUCAACCUCAAAAGAAGCCUACUGGGGGUUCCACAGGAGCUAAAAUUCGAGACUGAAGAUACCAAGCAAGUCUUUGUAGGUAUAAUUGACAGUGCUAAGCGCAGUCUUGCUGCCAGAGAUUCAUUGGCCCAACAUGAGGAUCUGACAAACUGAUGCUAUUGUUGAAGAUGUGGACAUAAAUAACUCAAGUCGCGUUGAAGGACGCUUUGAAGGACUGCGACUGCCUUUGCUUGUUGACAGUCUCCCUGGGUACACCAUCAACCUAUGUAGAAAAUAAUCGAACUUUUGGUGAAUUUCCACAAUGGCACAUUUUCAAUGCCGUCUA